rnacentral:pre_miRNA from 1 species
AUUAUUCUCCCUCCGUCCUAAAAUACUUGUCAUCAAAAUGGACAAAAAGGGAUGUAUCUAAAACUAAAAUACAUCUACAUACAUCCCUUUUAUCCAUUUUGAUGACAAGUAUUUCCGGAUGGAGGGAGUAUAUA